rnacentral:rRNA from 1 species
AGGAAGUAAAAGUCGUAACAAGGUUUCCGUAGGUGAACCUGCGGAAGGAUCAUUAUUGAAUGAACAUAGAGUCGGUUGUAGCUGGCCUGCAAAGGCAUCGUGCACGCCUUCUCUUUCAUCCACACACCCCUGUGCACUUGUGAGACGGAGGCUUAUUUCUCCCUUAACGGGAGAUUGGUUUCCGUCUGCUACUACACAAACUCAUAUAUUUUUAAUCUGAAUGUAAUUGAUGUAAACACAUCUAUAUACAAAGUUUCAACAACGGAUCUCUUGGCUCUCGCAUCGAUGAAGAACGCAGCGAAAUGCGAUAAGUAAUGUGAAUUGCAGAAUUCAGUGAAUCAUCGAAUCUUUGAACGCACCUUGCGCUCCUUGGUAUUCCUUGGAGCAUGCCUGUUUGAGUAUCAUGAAAUUCUCAAAGUAAAUCUUUUGUUAAUUCAAUGGACUUUGCUUUGGACUUGGAGGUCUGCAGAUUCACAGUCUGCUCCUCUUAAAUGCAUUAGCUGGAUCUCAGUGAGCUUGGUUCCACUCGGCGUGAUAAGUAUCACUCGCUGAGGACACCCGUAAAAAAGGUGGCCAGGGUUGCAGGUGAACCGCUUCUAAUGGUCUAUUGGUUUAGACAAUAAAUUUAAUGAUCUGAUCUCAAAUCAGGUAGGACU